rnacentral:lncRNA from 1 species
GAUGAUAAUGAUUAUUAUAAUUUAGUGAAUUCAUUUUCCCAGAAUUCUCUACAAUCCUUUUCUCUUUGAAUGUGGCAAAGAGAGUCAGAAUCACAGUAGGCCUGGUAAUCUAGAUAACAGUAAAUUUGUUUAUUGAAUUUGAAAAAAGUAAACAUUUCUCAGCAAAAUCAGUUUUUCUUCUGUUAUUAUUUGUUGUAACCAUUUGCCAAGUGCCAUUUUAUUAAAUGUAAUGUUGUCAGAUACUGGACAUAAAAGGCCUGUUAGCAGAGGCAUAGGUGUGAUUUUGUAUUUGGGCGAGUCUCUAGACAAAUGGAUGGGCAUCUGGACAAAUAUAAAAUUAAAACCACCAAUUGCAAUAAAAAGGUGUUUCCCCCUUUUUUAUAUUCAAGAAUGUAGAAAACAGUCUGAUGCACCAUGCAAAAAUAAACAGGCCCGUUCUCUCAUUUGUGUUUACUGUAUGUGUAUUAAUAUGAUACUCUAGAUCUCUGAUUAGCUUCCUUAUUUUUUGAGCAUUGAGAACUCACAAUGCUCUAUAAUUAGUUUCUAAAGCAGUAGACAAGGAGCGUGUAACACUGGAUGAAGCAAUCAGUAAAACACUGUAGCAAGGUGGGCAUGGCUAGUAAAAUAUCUCAGACCAUAACAUAAACAGAGUAUGAUAUUUAUUUAUUCUCCACGGCAGGGCUCAUGAGUUUCCAAUUAUUUGGCAGUCAAUUACAUUUGAUUGUUUUUCUGCGUAUUACUAAAUAAUUCCAAAAAGGCCCUUUGUUAAGUGUCAUAUUGCCCAUGCUUCAAACAAAAUAAAUGAGCUAAACGACUCUUACGUGCUAUCAGUCUCUUUCAAGAAAAGACGGCAGUGGUUAGAAGUAUCUUUUUUAGCUGAUUAAUUAUAUGUCCUCAGCUUCCUUGCUUGAGUCUCUCUUUGAGUGCUUCAGCCUGUGCUCGUGCUUAAUCUUGCUACUUACUCACCUCAUGUUUAUAAAACAUCAUUAGCCUAUAUGUUUC